GUCAAAAGAAUUGUCCAAAACGUUCAGAGAAGAGAUCAUUGCCUUGCACAAACAAGGAAAAGGAUACAAAAAGAUAGCAAAAGCACUGAAUCAUGGCGGUGGCUCAGUGAUGCUCUGGGGCUGAUUUGCUGCCUCUGGCACUGGAAACCUGCAGCGUGUGGAGGGCACGAUGGAUUCAGUCAAAUAUCAGGAAAUCUUAGGAAAAAACGUCAUGCCGUCUGUAAUGAAGCUGAAACUUGGGCGUCAUUGGACCUCCCAACAGGACAAUGAUCCCAAGCAUACCUCAAAGUCCACCAAGGCUUUGUUUUAAGAAAUGGAAGAUUCUAGAGUGGCCAUCACAGUCGCCUGACUUGAACCCCAUCGAAAUAUCUUUGGUGGCAUUUGAAGGAAGGCGGUUGCAAAACGCACAACAAAGAAUAUUACUGAACUGGAGGCCAUUGCCCAAACAGCUGAGAAAUUGUAUAUAUUGCCAAUAAACCUAAUGUGCAAUGGGGGGGUUGAAUAAUUUUGAUUGCAACUGUACAUGGUACAAACCGCUUGGGUCUGCUGUACUAGGGAAUGUGAGUGAGAAGAGGGGCAUUUUCUGAAAAUACAUAUGCUACAGCAGUUGGAGUAGAUCUCCACAUCCUGCUUGCACUUGGAUUACAGCUGUGCUAGAUCUAAAGGAGUCUGCCAGGGAGUUAGUGGGCAACCAGCUCUCACUGGACUCUUCCUAACAGGCCUGCGUGGCUGACUUAAAGAUUGCCUUGCUUUAACGCCUAGCUCACCCUCCUAUUUGGCCAUAAGGUUCAUAUUGGGGGACUUGCUCAUUCUGCAGAGAGACCCAUUGGUUCAUUCAGCUGCAAACCCCUCGACUCACAUAUAGGUCCCUUGUUCAUUCAGCAAUGCCAUGGUGCUAGUCAGAUGAAAGCACCUGUCAAACAAACUGCUGGAACUGUGAUAAAUUAAUGAUCAAACGGCUGACUGGGAAGUAAAGUGGCAUUGCAGAGACCUGUAAGCACCAAAGACAAAGCAAUAUAGACAGAAAGAAAGGGAAACGGUGAGAGAGGGACCGAAAGGAGGGAUGGACAGUGAAUGAGCGAGAUGCAGAGAAUGUAGGAGACAAGAGAAAGGCGAGGGAAAAUAUAUAUAUAUAAGAUGACACAGAGGGAAGAAAUCAGAAAUGAAGAAACAGAAAUGUAAUGGUGUUUGUAUGCAUGUAGUUCCUUUAGCCUUCAAAGUAAGGACAGUUUGAGGAUGCAUCAACAGUCGCUUCAAAUUUACACACCACGCACAACGUAGUGGUGGCGUACACUGAACAAAUAAGUUUGCACCCAUUUUAUUACAAGUAGAAUUAUUAUUAUAUUAUUUGUUUGAGGGUUAACUCAACGACGCGCAGUGGCGGGCCUAACAACACCCCCGAAACUGUUACAUUAUUGGAUGAUAAAGUACAGCCUCUCGUACCUUAUUGCUUAAUUAUUACUCAGUUUUACGAUACUUUAUGGGCGACUCAAACUGCCUGAAACAAACUCUAAAUCUAAAAGCUACCAACUUUAAAACAGUGGCCCAGUGGCUGUAUUAGUUUGUGACAAUGUUACUACAUUGCAAUAGACGAAUACACUUUGAUAGAGCGACAUUUUUAUUAUAGACAUACAAGAGAAUGUUAUCAAAAGACUGCAGUCACACACAAUGGAAAUUCAUUAUUCAUCUGCAAGCUUUUUCGUAGGUCUUUAAACAAGCAUUUCGUCUUUCUGUGUGAUUUAAUAUACUUUGGAGGGCCAGAGAUUUCUUAUGGCUUCUGAGGGAAAAUGUAGAUGAUGUCAAAGAAAAAGGUCUCGCAAACAACACAUGAAUGCGGGGUUUUGUUUGGGAGAGGAAUUUGUUGUGAGUGAAUGUUGUUCUGAGCAAAUUUACAUCCCUAUUAUGUCGUCCAGGCGUUGUGACGGAGCGCUGCAGCUCAUCUCAUAUGCAGUUACCCAGCUAACUACCAGCCUUCCCCCUGCUGCUCCACCGGCCUUUGAUAAGAACAGAGGGAAAUUAAAAUCAUGAACCUGAAUUAUGAAUCCAAUGACGAAAUAGCCUCCAAAGGGUUUUUUCUUCGCACCGUCUCUCUUGGGCGAUUUUCUCCUGCUCUCUCCCACUUUUGCGCUUGUUCUUAUUUUUUCUUUCCGUUCCAGUGUUUUCUUUCUUUCACUUUGUUCUUCUUUCCCAGCACCGCCCUCCGUCUCUUUUCGUUACAGAGGAAUUCAACUACUAGCAUAUUCCAUAAGAGCAAGAGAGAGACUGAAGGGGAUAUAGAGGAGGAAAGUUUCAAACGACAAAAAACACACAGUUUGAUAAAACUGACGAGGGACUCAAUUAAGGCUUCCCUGUCAAAGCAGGAUUGAUAUUUUAUUAAGUGGCAGUGUGCCAUCCGAAGGGUACAUCAAGCGACACAUCUGUAGACGAGAGGACUGCACCAGCCGGGUAAGAGGGACACGUGUUGCCGCUUUCGGGAAACAUCAGUCGAAAGUCACUUCAUCACAUCUGCUGAAAAAUUAAGAAGUCCCUGUAUUAGUAUGCUUAUUUACUUUUUCAUGCACCACGCUAAGAAUUUGACGAGAAAAUGUCGCUGUCCUCCUUUUUCCCCUCCUUUUAUAUUGUACACAUGCCGGAACAAAGAAUGCCGGUAUUAGCUCUUGUUACAUUACCACCGGAACAAGUGCGACAAAGAUUUUGCCACUUCAAAAAAAGGCAACCAACAAAGCCCUGCAUAGUCGCUGCUUCUAAAAAAUAGAUUUAUAGGGCAACCUAUGUGCAUCCUUUUUAACUGCGUCUAAUGUUUCCGUUGCCAGCGUGCUUCAGCAUUGAGCAUAUUCAAUAGGGGAACUACUUUGACUAGACAAAAUGUAAUCUUUCUAAUGAUUGUGUCCUGCUGCAUGGACCCCAAAAUACUUACCAAAAUUAUUGUUUGUGUUCAUGACGUAAAACUCUGGUCUACCGUUCUUCUCAUUUUAAUUCGCUGUGGAUAAGAGACAAUAAAACAUCCAAAAUGUAACACGGAAUGCAGCUUUAUUUAUUGCUGAAAAAAAAGGAUUUGGGUGUAAUAGGAUAUGGGCUAUAAAUUCACCUCUGUUUCUUUGUAUAUAUAUUCACCAACUUUGUCCCAAAUUUAUUUUUAAAUAACCCAAUCCUUCAGAAAGAUCAAACAUGGUGGUAGUUAAAAAGAAAAUAGCAGUGCUCUGAUUUGCCUACAAAAGGCCACCGUGUUACAGUAAAAUUAAACUUUAAUUCCAAAGUCUCUCUUGUAUUUUAGAUUGCUCUUGUCGGAUGUUGUACUGUUGAAAAAAAACAGAUGCCCCUGUCCACCCACACGCAGACACACACAAACAUAACAGUGUGUGUGCCUGAGUUUUGUUAUUCUACACAAGUAUGGCUCUGCAUGACUACUCGUUCUGUGUGUGUCCGUCUGUGUGCACGCGCGUACAUGUUCGCAUGGUGGAGCUGACACUGGGUUGUACAGGAGCUCAGUGCUGACCAUACAUAGUCUGUUUCAUCUAGAACAAAAGCACUGUUGGAGAACACAAAAGGCCAGGUUCAAAAGCAUCGGCAGCCCAGGCCUGGAUACAUGAAACAAUCAGUGUAAACUUGUCCACAGCUAAGAGAGCGAUGAAGCACACACAACAAUGCUCCUCGUGCUCAACAGACACACUUCUGUCCACAUAGGACAAGAUUAAAGCUCUGGUUAGAUCAAACACACUGUUGAUGAUUAGCGCAAAAGAAUGUUUUUGUGUUUCUAUCAUUGAUUAAUAUGUUGCUCCCAAGACGAGCAAUAAUUUAUGCAUGAAGUGCACGACUGAAACCACAGCACUGCUGUGUGUAGUUGGUGUUGGGGUGUGGCGGACGUGAAAAAGCAGGCGACGUGCGUGCACAUGGAAGGCCAUUUCAUUUAAUGGUAAUUCAAGUAUAUAAACAUGCUAAUGAAAUAAAUAGUAUGGCUUUGAAAUAAGUUCUGGAAUGAUUAAUCAGGUGUUAAAUACGUAAAGAACUAAAUAUAGAAAAUCAAUCUUUUCAUUCUCUCCCCUGCCGAUGAUAAUCCUGUGUUGCCAGUAGGACAGCAUGGUGAUGCUCUGGAGACAAAGCUGCCAGCAACAUUGCGAAAAUCACAACCUGGCGAUGGAAAGUUCGCUAUUUGCUGUUUUGAGUGCAUAGUUUAGUCUCCUCCAUCACUCUAUCCAGUAUUAUUCUGACUGAUGGAUCCGUCAGUGGUCUUUUUUGUCUACUAAACAAAUGAAAGUUGCAGCUUGUGCCAUCGAGGCGACGCUUUCAUCAGCACCCAGUGGUUCUGUUUGAAGUACCUCCCCCCCUCUAUCUCCCGUACCGGCGCCGAACUUGAUGAGCUGGUACUUGGGAAUGUGACAUUCACAUUCAGCUACCACAUGUGGCAUACGCAUGUUUAUUUUCCUGCUGAAAUGUGGUUUUAUUGGUCAGUCAAAUAGUUAAAUAAAACUACAUUUGGUAAGAGUUACAUUUGAGUGCUUCAUCUGUGAAGAAGUAGAAGAACAUUAUCAUCCGUAAGUUGGUUCAGGUUGUGUUUUGUUCUUUUCUACAGACCUGCAGGCUGUUCCACUGUGACAAAAUAGGGUGUUGUCAGCCCAGGGGCAUCAUGUGUAUGCUGGUCUAGCUUUGGUCGCUUCGCCAUCAAUUUGCUACCGAUGUUUCCUGACAUCUACUAUUCGCCUCUCCAACAAUGUGCCAGUCAUGUCCUUUUUUCAUUUUUUUUCACAAUUUGUCUUUACAAUUUGUUUUUGCUAAAUCAGGCCUGUACAAGCCACAAUUAUUGUCUUUUAUUGUUGGCAAAAUAGCAGAUGGUGGAGGAUCAAACAAUUGUAGAUGACGAGGGCCAGCAGUUAUUUACCCCCACAAUUUUAUGAUAUGGAUUUACAGAUGAAUGGAUGGGUGUUCCGUGUGUGCCAUGCUGAUGUUGCCAGCCUGUGGUAGCUAGUUUGUGUUUCCCCUGGAGUGAAUGCAUUGGAAUGGAUGAAUGAUAAACAUAAACGUGGGUGUAAGUUAGAGAGCGUCAAUCACAAAAAGCACUGAGGUCUAUAGCACAAAACUAUAACACAGAAAUGCCCCAGGGAUACAAAACCCGCAUAGAAACCGUGUAGAAACCAACACAGGAAUUGUUUUGGGCUCAGAAAAAACUGUUGCCAAUAGUUUUUUUUCAACGAAAACACACUCUUUUAGUUAAUAAUAACUUGAAUUUUGUGUUGAGGAAAUGACGAUGGAUAACAAUAAAAGUGUAAAAGGUGAUACAAUCGCAACAAAGCUUUUGAUCCCUGCACCCACAGAGACAUAUCCACCUGUUGCAGACUAAAUACUAGCUGUAUUUAUUUCAGAGCCAAGCCUGAAUUGAGGGCUAAUUUGGUCAAAUAAACUCAAACGGAAAUAUAUUAGUAAGCUCCAUUUCGGACUGUUGUUUUUUUCUAGCUAUUCUAGCUUAUUUGUAGCUUGGCACCCAUUCACACUUAGCGGCACAUACAUAAAUACACAUUCACAAAUUGCUCCAAAUAUGUAUAUGCGUUUCCAAAAGUUGGAGGUAAACAACUUUAAUCAUCCUGUUCCACGUCGGUUCCACUGACAGUUUGUAUUAACAGACUGGGAAAAGAUGAGACAGGUGGAGAGCCAGGAUAUUUUACCCCAUUGGAGAGAAAGAAAAUGUAAAAUUGCAAUGAAAGGGAAGAAAACCCAACAAUAAAUAGGCGGUGAUGUCCUUACAUAGCCAAUAGGAUACACAUAUUUGUGGAGGAAAACUUAACAGGCACUUCAAUUAUGUAUUAAUCAAACAUAGCUUAACACGAACUGACAAGGAACUUGGCAAUCUGGCAGCCAUCUGGAAGACUGGACUGUCCGAGGUGAGGAAGAGGAGCGGCUGAACCCGAGAGAAAGGAAAAACCAAGGAGGGGGACAAAGACAGCAAGACCGAGAGGGAGUAUCAAGUAUCACUGACGGCAAAAGGUGUGUUUUUCGUACAUCACUGAGGAAGAGUAUCGUCAUUGUUGCCGGUUGCCGUUGUGCGUUACAAGUAUUCUAUGAUUGCAGAGCAAGAGCAUAGAAUCAGAAAGCUCUCCAAAUGGCACAGUUAAACAACCCGGCUGAUCGGUUGCCAUUGGCAGCCGCUUCCCUCCACAGAUGGGGACACAGUAACGAGGCGAACAAGACAAAAACUGACAAGACUGUGAUACAAACAAGGAAGCGAUACUUCCAUCUGGCUCUCACUGCACUUUGAUUUGCUCCCUCCAGUGGUUAGAGCGAUUUAGAUUUAAACCGCUCGCAGUGCGCUAACAAUCCUUUUCUCCUUAACAAUCCAAGACUGAUUUCACAUUGUUCUCCACCUAAGUUAUGUAUGACAAACGCCUGGGGCCAAAUCACCAUCAAAGCAGCACAUCGCGGGAACACAGUGCUUCCGAGAUUCUUAGUGAUGGCAGAUGUCACUUUUGAAGUGAGCAAGGGGAUGAAAGUGGCGGGAUGUGACGGGCGGCAAAAGGACAGCCUCUCUGCCGCGACCUGCCAUCAUCAGUGCCGCGGAGGUGUAAUGGGGAGAGACUGGAGGGGCCCCGGAAGCUACAGCGGGCUCCGUGGGAGUGUCUCUCUUGGUGCCCAGCAGGGGUCAUGCCUUAAAUGUUGCACCCACCUACCCAGGAGAGCAGCCAGCCUGGCAUCUUCCUUUUGCCAGUCAGUCAACGCGGCUGGGAUGGAAGCGUCUCCCUGCUUCACACCGGCUUGCUCUGCCGGUGGAUUCGUCGGGGUAUAGAGAGAAUAGCUAAUCUGAGGGAACCGGCGGCCCGGAAUCAAAGGCCCACCGGCUUCUCUCCUCCUUGUGUGCAGCGGGGCUCACCUGGGUAACAUCCCCGGCGUGAAGGAGCGAGCGGCAAGAGGACUCGGUAAACAAGGCAGAGCAAUGCAACUGUCAAACAGAGAGGCAGCCAGUGCAGGGAAACCAAAACAAACUCUUAACUCGGGAAAUUCAGAGAGCGUUUUCCCCUUGCCUGCUCCACUGUUCCCUGUGUCUUUAUUGUGGCUUGAUAUGUCACCACUGUCUUUAUCUCCUACUUACUCAGGACUUCAAGUGGCUGUCUCUAUUUUGCUGGGCCAUAAAUUAUUCAGUGCCGUGUGUCUUCUUAGUAUCUGCGCUUUCCAUUGGGAUGCUAUCUUAUCCCCUGUUCUGCAAGAGGGGCUGGUGCUUUGAGACAGAGUUUGCAAAAGGUAACACAGGAACUUCAGCGCCGACAUCCCCUUUCUUAGUAGGAGCUCUUGUCAAGUACAUAUAUUUGUUCCGGCACAAGGAAAAAAUGAAAAAGAAAAAACAGGAAAAAAAGUUGUAUCUGAAUUCAACAUGGCAACCAACAAGCUCCUGUGCUGCUGCUACAACAACUUGGACUACUAUCUGAGCCUAAAAUAAUGACAGUAUUCCACACAGAGGAGUAUGUUUUUGUGUUUCCCCCUGCGCAUGCAUGUGUGCGUUUGUGCAAGUGUGAUUGUUUGUGUGAGUGCGGUUGUGUGUGUUGGAGCUAACGGAGCCUACUGUAUGUAAAUAGCCAUAUGAGACUGCAUAGCAUUACUGUCCACACAUUGAAGAGGUGACCUGAUCCCAAUUAAUCACACAAUCCCAGGGAGAACUGUCACAUCCCAUCUCCAUCAGCAGUAGCAUCCUGUUCUGUCUCCCUCUCUCAUGUCACCCUCUAUUCCUCCAUCUCUCUUCCUCUCCCACGCACACAUACACGCAUACACUACCCAUCGCAGGCCCGUCGCACUCUCAACCAACUCCCCCACCUCGCCUCCCUCAUUUUAUUCAAACACACAGGGUCUAAAGCUGACAGGUCAGCUGGCGUGGGCCAGUCGGUCCCCACCUGUCCCCUUGCUUCUUCCCCCAGAAGGCAGAGUGCCAGAAAAAUGGUGAAGAGGCACUUCUAUCUUUACAGCUGCCAAAACCGGAUGCAACCGGAAGCUUUCUAUUCCCCCAACGGGAUGAAAUGUUUGCAUCGCACUUGUAUUGGUCAAGGACCGUAUACGGUGGAUAUUAUCCAGAGGUAUAAGAAAAUAUUGUUUUUUACUAAGCUCAUUCAUAUGGUAGUGCAUUCCUCAUCCUAUAUCCGUUAGGGUUUCCAUUAGCACAAAAUACUGCAAUAUAUUAAACAGUGAGCCGUGUAUCAUGCAACUGAUAGCAUCCUGAUCUUAGCAACAUUUACCAAAAAGAGUGCAGUGGGGGGAAGUUGGUCACAAUAUUAUUAUUACGUACAACAGAAAUUUUGUCUGAGCAAAAUGGGACAUUUUUGUAUGUACUAUGUGUAAUAAAUGGAAGGGUAGAAGGAACCCUUCUAAAUGUGGUAGGUGGGUAAACAUUUACUAGUGUCUGACUGGAAAGUGGAUGUAUAUGGACUUUGAAGCUUAUGUGACAGUAAGUGACGACUGCGAAUCAUU
ensembl:lncRNA